rnacentral:rRNA from 1 species
CAGUCGCCACGGGAAUACGUAGGGCGCAAGCGUUGUCCGGAAUUAUUGGGCGUAAAGAGCUCGUAGGCGGUCUGUCGCGUCUGGUGUGAAAUCCCGAGGCUCAACCUCGGGCUUGCAUCGGGUACGGGCAGACUAGAGUGCGGUAGGGGAGACUGGAAUUCCUGGUGUAGCGGUGGAAUGCGCAGAUAUCAGGAGGAACACCGAUGGCGAAGGCAGGUCUCUGGGCCGCAACUGACGCUGAGGAGCGAAAGCAUGGGGAGCGAACAGGAUUAGAUACCCGUGUAGUCCCUGUCUCUUAUAA